rfam:Pseudomonas sp. MF4836 contig006, whole genome shotgun sequence.
AUACGUGUAGGGUGGAGAUGCACAACCGUCGGACUGUGUAGCAUUAGGCUUUAUCAAGACGCUUCAUCUCGUCCACAGUUACCGGUUGAUUCCUCCUCCUGACAAACUUUUGCUUAAGCGGUGCCUUAUGUCACCACAGCAAGCAGGACGCGUGAGUCGCGACUUCGCCCCCUUUGGUCGAACCUCGCUAGACACUCGAGUGGCCAACCACUCCUGACGCACCUGACACCGACCGUGAGAAGUCGUGUGUGCCGAACGCCGUUUCCGGCAGCCCGGAAACCGA